AUUACCAUGUGGUCACGUAGGCACAAUACAUAGAAAAAAAAGGCUGUGUACUCCGUGGUUACUCUCUCAGGUGGCUGUUAGCAUAUCACAAUCUCUUGCAACAAUAGCAUGAAUUUUCCGAAUUUGACUUAUACAAUGACAUUAUAAAACACCAGAUAUUAUACAGGAAAAUCAAGUCCUGAUUUAUCCGCAGGAGAACUUAUCUGCGAGUAUAUACGGUACAAUCACUUGUGACCUUGGUCUGUGGACUUCAUACAUGCCUGGCAGAUGAAACGAAAAAGAGAGUAACUACAAUAUAUAUAGUUAUAAAACUGAGUUCAACAAGAAAAUUGACAGCAAGGUCAGUUUGAGAAGACAGAGCCUCUUAGACUCAACAAUAACAUGACAAAUAAAAGCAGCACAUUAGCUAAAUCAGGAGUAUCAACCACACUGCUGCAUGUCAUAAAAUUCAAUUAUAAUCCCAAUAAUGUCAGAAGAUUUAAAGGGAUGGCUGAGAACUACAAUGGGGACCGGUACUGAAGUUGAAGGACAAAAAACAGACUGCCUAACCAAUUUAAAGUACUUAAGAGAGUACAGUAAUAUUACAGUUAAUGAAAUAGAUGCAAUUACAGACUUUAGUACCUUAUAAGAAACAUAUUGGAAAUAGAUGUACAAUAGAAGGAAUAAAUAUCAAAGGUAAUGUAAAGAUUGAUAAGCCUUCCAUGCCACUCUUUAUGCUCUCUUCUGUGUUGUUCCCCUGACUUCACAUUGACACCAAGAGCGCCUCCCCACUCUGCUCACUUCGUGUAAGAAGCAACACCAUUUGCCUCACUUUCCCCAGCUCAGUAAGCCGAACCAUGCCAUGAACUUUAAGUAUCCUAAAAGGCUGUCUAUCCAUGCACCCUCUUCCAUUCUCUGCACCAGUUUGUUUCAUAUCCUAACCCAGUGAUUCUGCUAUAUGGCAUUUCUUUUGUCCAGCUUCUACCCUCUUUAUAAUUAGCAUUUUAGCUCUAAAGAUACUGCCUUAUGUUUUUGUGACAUAAUGACCAAAUUAUUUUGUUACUAUUAAAAUAACUACAGUACACAUACAAUACCUAAGGAGUCACAUAGUAACUUCACAUUUUAUUUUAUAGAUUAAAUGCAGUUUGUUUUUUUUGGUCCGUCCUGGCCACUUGACUGUACCAUUAGACUCGCAUUUAGAGACUUAAAAAACAAUUGCAUAUAUAAGGACUUUCAAUUCUCUUUAUCUCUCUUAUUUAAGUGUGUAUUAUUUAUGUUUGCAUAAUAUUUAUGAAUUAUUAUUCUUAUCUAAUUGUAAUUUGUUUUUUUCUUUGCCUGUAACUUUGACAUCCUGUAAAGCACUUUGAGCUACAAUGUUGGCAUGAAAAUGUACCAUAGAAAUACAUGGUGUUGCUGUUGUUGUAAACUCUUCAGUGCCCUGUUUUAAGAUGUGCUGUGACUCCGUUUAUAUUGUGUUAACUUGUCAGAGGGUAAAAUGAAAAGUCUCAGUGCCCAAUAGUUAAAGAUUUAAUCCAACAACUGGAAGCAACAACAGGAAACAAUUAGUCCUUCAAAACUUUCCGUUUUUCUUAUCACUUUCUCUUUUACAUCUUCUCUAUCUCCACCUAAUGGGCCAAGUACAGAACAUAACAUAUUGUAAUAAAGAUCUUCAUCAGCAUCUUUUCUUAGUAUUUUGAUAGACACACUGGUGUGAACUCAAUCAUUUCUGUUUUGUUAUAACUUAGUCAAUUACAAUUUGCUUCUCUCUAAUUUCACCAUGUGUUAGAGCAACACCCCUUGUACAUAACAACAUCUUUGUUAAAAUAGUCAUGAUUUUUAUGUUAUGUGACAUAAAAGUUUAUACAUAGGCUUGAGAACAGAAAGAGUACGUUCUGUUUUAUGUGUUCUGUCUCUUUAAGACACAGGCGAAUCACAGGUGGGUUGCUGCCCGAUUAAAGUGAAAGAGAAAUCAUUUAGAAAAGACAAACACACAAGCUAACGACCUGCAGUCUGAAGGGUUUCUUUUUUACAGUAUUAUAAGGACUAGAAUUUUAAACACUGUGCAGAAGGCUCUUCACGUUGGUGGUAAGAUGUGAAAAUCUACAGUAGAUGGUGGAAUCCAACUAGAAGAUGUGAGAACAGGCUCAUGGACAUCACAGGCUGUAUUGAGCAGUUUUUCUUUUCCAGCUAUGAAUGCUCAUACUGAGUUCAGAUGCCUUAUUUUUUUUAUUUCUGCACAACAUACAUAUCUUCUGUGCAGUGAAGUUUUCCAUAAUUGGUCCAUCUGAGCCUAUUAUCACUUAUGUGGGUGAAGAUGUAAUCCUGCCUGCCUCUCACCAGCACUCAACGCGGAGAAAUUUCAAGUGAGAUGGUUUACGACUGAUUUUAAAUCACCAGUAAUUUUAUUUGAAAACUACCAAUAUUUAAAGCAGAUUGAAAGAGCAAAAAUGCUCUUCCAAGGGGAGAUGAAGUAUGGCAAUGUAUCCUUAAAAAUACAAAGUGUCCGUGUUUCUGACAAUGGUGUCUACAGAUGCUACGUGGAUUCUGGAAGGAUUGAUGAUGAGGUGCAGAUUACAUUGGUUGUAGUAGUUCAGCUCCUUCCUGUCUGGUUUUUGCACAUGGAGAUUGGUAAGAAAAAGAUUUGCACAUUUUGUAUUAGGCCACAAGUGGCAAACUACAGAACAACUAAACUGACUGAGAGCAGCCAGAAAUGAUAAUCAAAAAGUAUCAUAAGAGCAUGGAAUUAAUCACAUUAUUAUUAGACAAACUGAACCAUAAAUUUGAAAAUGUAAAAAGGAAUUCAGCUAAUGCAUUGACUGUAAAGAAGUACGGGUCGUCUUUUUUUCUUGGUGAUCAUGAGAUUAAACUCAUAACAGAUGCAAGAGAAUAUUAAAAAGGAUGAACUGUGGAGACAUUACCCAAAAGUGACAGCAGGUGUGCAAAACAACAAAAGAAGUAUGACAAGUGAAAGGAGAUCAUUUAGUCCAUCAGACUUGUUCAGUUAGCUAAUGGCUAAGUUGUCCCAAUAUCUCAUUCAGACAGCUUGUAAAAGUUGUCAAAAUCUCCACUUCAUCAUCCCGUGUUGGUAGUUAAAGAACCCCACAAACCUCUGUGUAAAGCAAUACUUCCUGAUGUCAGUCUUAACUGCACUUUUCCUUAUGGUGUCCAUUUCCCAACUGGUGCUUAAUGAAUGUGAUUCACUAUUUAGUUAAAAGAAUUCUGCUAGAUGAACAUCACUGAUCGCCUUCAGAAUUUUAAAGACCUCAAAAAGGACUGCACAUAGUAUUCUCUACUUGAGACUGAAGAGGUCUAUCUCCCUGAGACUGAAAGAGUUAGACAUGUCUUUUAGACCCAGGAUGCUCUUGGCUGCUCUUCUAUGUGUGUCGUGAAGUGCUGUUUUGUCUUGUGAGCAGAACUUCACAGAACAUUUCAGAUGUGGUCCCAUUAGUGUAACCUACAGUCUGAGCACAACAUGCCUUGUUUUUUACUGCCCAUUUUUAUAGUCUAACCAAACAUUCUGGCUGUCUUUUUAAGUACUUCUAAGUAUUGCCUGAUGAUGAGAAUACUGUUAAAUGAUUUCCGUUUGUUUUUCUGUUAUUUACCUUAUAUUUAAACUUAAAAUUCCCUUUCACCUCCAUGUUAAUGGACAUUUGGUGACGGGGAAAAAAAAUCAUUAUCAAGUUAAGUUCACAUUCUGAUUCUUUUGUGCUCAGCAGAGUAAUGGCAGUCAGAAGCAGAGAGAAAUGUUGGGAAACUACCCUGGUAAACCCCAUUUAACUGAAAGUUAAAUGAUAAAAAAUAAAGCAAAGAAUGAUAUAAACGAGGCACAAAAGAAAAGACACUGAUGCUAUGUCAGCCAAAUACCAGAUCCCCAUUUUUUGUUCUAUCAGUCAUAUCAUACUUGGAUCCUAAAUGGUUCUGAAUUGUUAGAAUUGAAUACUAACCCUCACCUAUUCUGUUUCUGUUCUCGGUACCCAAAUGUGGCAAUUGGUGC